GAAACAUUAUAUUCAUAUCAUCUCAUAGCAUCAUAUCGGGAUAAAUACCAUAUUUAACUCCCGUGGUAGGGUUAUACACCACCAUUAUACCCGUGGUUGGGUCGUAUACCAUGCUUCACUCUCGUAGUAGGGCUAUAAACCACCAUUAUACCUGUGGUUGGGCCGUAUACUAUGUUUCACCGCCAUGGUAGGGUUAUAAACCAUCAUUAUACCAGUGGAUGAGCCUUAACA